UACGUAGGGGGGCUAGCGUUGUCCGGAAUCACUGGGCGUAAAGGGCGCGUAGGCGGUCCGGUAAGCGUGCGGUGAAAGCCCGGGGCUCAACCCCGGGUCGGCCGUGCGGACUGCGGGACUGGAGCCGAUCAGAGGCAGGCGGAAUUCCGGGUGUAGCGGUGGAAUGCGUAGAGAUCCGGAAGAACACCGGUGGCGAAGGCGGCCUGCUGGGGUCUUGGCUGGACGCUGAGGCGCGACAGCGUGGGGGAGCAAACAGG
rnacentral:rRNA from 1 species